UCCGAGUUGGUGUAGGGGUUAACAUUUGACGCUCUCAACAUGAUUGAUUAUAAUGAUCUUGUGCGGUGCCGUCAAGCCCGGGGUUCGAUUCCCCGACUCGGAG
rnacentral:tRNA from 1 species